CACGUAGGGGGCAAGCGUUGUCCGGAUUUAUUGGGCGUAAAGAGCUCGUAGGUGGUUCGGUAAGUCAGGUGUGAAACCUCCAGGCUCAACCUGGAGACGCCACUUGAUACUGCUGUGACUGGAGUCCGGUAGGGGAGCGUGGAAUUCCUGGUGUAGCGGUGAAAUGCGUAGAGAUCGGCAGGAACACCCAGGGGGAAACCAGUCGACUGGGCAUCUACUGACGCUGAGGUGCGAGAGCGUGGGGAGCGAACCGG
rnacentral:rRNA from 1 species